rnacentral:rRNA from 1 species
GGAUUAGGCAUGCAAGUCGAACGAGAAAGGCAUCUUCGGGUGCCGAGUAAAGUGGCGAAAGGGUGAGUAACGCAUAGAUAACCUGCCCCUGAGAUGGGAAUAACUCCUUGAAAGGGAGCUAAUACCCAAUAAUACGGCAAGCCACAGGGUUUGCCGUCAAAGAUAGUUAACGCCUUCGCUCAGGGAGGGGUCUAUGUCCUAUUAGCUUGUUGGUAGGGUAACAGCCUACCAAGGCAAUGAUGGGUAGCCGACCUGAGAGGGUGACCGGCCACACUGGGACUGAGACACUGCCCAGACUCCUACGGGAGGCUGCAGUCGAGAAUCUUCCGCAAUGCGCGCAAGCGUGACGGAGCGACGCCGCGUGGGGGAUGAAGGCCUUCGGGUUGUAAACCCUUGUCACCUGGAAAGAAAGACAGGUGGUGAAUAGCCAGCCUGUUUGACGUUACCAGGAGAGGAAGCACCGGCUAAAUACGUGCCAGCAGCCGCGGUAAUACGUAUGGUGCUAACGUUGUUCGGAAUCACUGGGCUUAAAGAGCACGUAGGCGGUUGAGAAAGUCUGGUGUGAAAUCCCUCGGCUCAACCGGGGAACUGCACCAGAAACUUCUUAGCUAGAGUACAGGAGGGGAGAGUGGAAUUCCUGGUGGAGCGGUGAAAUGCGUAGAUAUCAGGAGGAACGCCGGUGGCGAAAGCGACUCUCUGGCCUGUUACUGACGCUGAGGUGCGAAAGCUAGGGGAGCGAACGGGAUUAGAUACCCCGGUAGUCCUAGCCCUAAACGAUGGGCACUAAGUAGAGGGGUUUU